GUGAGGAAUAUUGGGCAAUGGGCGCAAGCCUGACCCAGCAACGCCGCGUGAAGGAAGACGGUCUUCGGAUUGUAAACUUCUUUUGUCAGGGACGAAUAAUGACGGUACCUGGCGAAUAAGCCACGGCUAACUACGUGCCAGCAGCCGCGGUAAUACGUAGGUGGCAAGCGUUGUCCGGAUUUACUGGGUGUAAAGGGCGAGUAGGCGGAUUUGCAAGUCAGGUGUGAAAGCCCGGGGCUUAACCCCGGGUCUGCAUUUGAAACUGCGGAUCUUGAGUAUCGGAGAGGCAGGCGGAAUUCCCGGUGUAGCGGUGGAAUGCGUAGAUAUCGGGAGGAACACCAGUGGCGAAGGCGACUUACUGGACUGUAACUGACGCUGAGGCGCGAAAGUGUGGGGAGCAAACAGGAUUAGAAACCCGGGUAGUCC
rnacentral:rRNA from 1 species